GAUGAAGAACGUAGCGAAAUGCGAUAAGUAAUGUGAAUUGCAGAAUUCAGUGAAUCAUCGAAUCUUUGAACGCACAUUGCGCCCCUUGGUAUUCCAUGGGGCAUGCCUGUUCGAGCGUCAUUUGUACCUUCAAGCUCUGCUUGGUGUUGGGUGUUUGUCUCGCCUCUGCGUGUAGACUCGCCUUAAAACAAUUGGCAGCCGGCGUAUUGAUUUCGGAGCGCAGUACAUCUCGCGCUUUGCACUCAUAACGACGACGUCCAAAAGUACAUUUUUACACUCUUGACCUCGGAUCAGGUAGGGAUCCCCGCUGAACUUAAGCAUAUCAAUAAGCGGAGGA
rnacentral:misc_RNA from 1 species